GUACUUGCUUCGGCAGCACACACACUAAAAUUGGAAUGAUACAGAGAUUAGCAUGGCCCCUGUGCAAUGAUGACAUGCAAAUUCGUGAAUCCUUCCAUAUUUGA
rnacentral:snRNA from 1 species